UUUUUUUUUUUUUUUUUGGAACUGGGGACCGAACCCAGGGCCUUGUGCUUCCUAGGCAAGCGCUCUACCACUGAGCGAAAUCCCCAACCCCUGAACUUCCUUCUUAUGCAGGAACAAGUCCUCUUUAUUGUUUACCAGCCACUCCCUCCAGAAUUCGAAGUUGUGUUUUAUCAUGUUGGCUUUUUCUGCAGAGAACUACGAUGGUGAGAGGGUGGAAUUUAAGUCUGAUAGUAAUACAUAAACCAUGAGACUAAGUAAGCUAACUCUUACUUCCUUGUAGAGAAUAGUGACAUUGGUACAGGAAAGAAAGAGAAAGAAAAGAAAAAUAGAAAGGGCAAGGACAAGGAAAAUGGCUCUGUAUCCACCAGUGAGACACCACCACCUCCACCACCAAAUGAAAUUAGUCCUCCACAUGCUGUGGAAGAAGAGGAAGAUGAUGAUUGGGGGGAGGAUACAACUGAGGAAGCUCAAAGGCGCAGAAUGGAUGAAAUCAGUGACCAUGCAAAAGGUCUGACACU
rnacentral:lncRNA from 1 species